UUUUCACACAUAGUUAGUUGA
rnacentral:piRNA from 1 species